AGAACGAACGCUGGCGGCAUGCCUAACACAUGCAAGUCGAACGAGACCUUCGGGUCUAGUGGCGCACGUGUGCGUAACGCGUGGGAAUCUGCCCUUCGGUUCGGAAUAACAGUGGGAAACUACUGCUAAUACCGGAUAAUGACGUAAGUCCAAAGAUUUAUCGCCGAAGGAUGAGCCCGCGUAAGAUUAGCUAGUUGGUAGGGUAAAGGCCUACCAAGGCUACGAUCUUUAGCUGGUCUGAGAGGAUGAUCAGCCACACUGGGACUGAGACACGGCCCAGACUCCUACGGGAGGCAGCAGUGGGGAAUAUUGGACAAAUGGGCGAAAGCCUGAUCCAGCAAUGCCGCGUGAGUGAUGAAGGCCUUAGGUGUAAAGCUCUUUUACCCGGGAUGAUAAUGACAGUACCGGAGAAUAAGCUCCGGCUAACUCCGUGCUAGCAGCCGC
rnacentral:rRNA from 1 species